UUUUAAAAAAAAAGAAAAAUACCUUGGUACCCUGAAACAGAUCUAUACAACCAUUGUAGUCUGUCAAAGCACCCUGAAGAAAAGAAAACCAACAUGAGUUUUUACUCCCUCCUCCAGCUCUAUGCUAAGAUUAUCUUUCCACCAACCCGAAACUAAUCCCAUGGCUGCUGACGAUGGAAAAGAGCAUAAUAUAUGCCUAAUACCCAUAUCCACAAGCCUAAAAAUUCGAAAAAGAAAAACCAAAACAAGCCUAAAAAUUCGAAAAAGAAAAACCAAAAUCAGAACCAAUGAGAAGUUUACUUACUCAUCAAACAACUCCCACUUAAAAACAGUUCCUGGCUCGUGCCAUGUGCGCGAAAUAGUGCAGCUCGUUGGCUAAUUGCGCAUGUCAAACAAUGGAAGCAGUGGAGAGUUUAAAACCUGCCAUAAUGGCCUGUCUUUAGUAGCAGCCAUCCUGUGAAAUAGCUCCAGAUCAAACUAGCUAGCUGCAACUACUCAAACCUGAACCGCUCGCCUGUGAAUGCCGCCUCUAGGCAGAGCGAAUGAGAUCCAUCAAUCGAUUGCUAUAGGAUCAUUACCUCUUGUAUGCUGGAGGAAUGAAUCCAGCACCGGGAGCAGCGUGCAAGAGAUCGAUCGCACCUUGUUUGCAGCAGCUAGGAAUUUCUCCACUUUCCAGCCAGGGUUUUUGAGCAAGAAUCCCUUUUCUUCUCUCCAUGAAUUAUCCAUGGUUGGAGGUGGAUAACUGACAAAUAUCCGGUUAUAAAUCCCUUAAGGGUGUAUCUUGUGGAAUUUCUGCUUUAAUAUGGAUCUCUUCUAAAUUUUUUAGAAUGUUCCGGUUGAUAGUUAAAUGCACAUAGUUCAGCACGUUGAUCUCUAGCUAUAUUUUGCUGGAUCUCCUUGCUACAUCUAAGUACCAUGAAAAGUCAAGGCUUGAGUUGAAAUAUUUAUCUGAAGGUCUCUUUUAUAUCUUUAAGGUUGUUUGUCUUGGCUUUAAAAGUUGAGUUGGUUAAGUAAAAAUGUGGGUUUGGUUGAGGGUGGUGAAUAAAACCAAUAUUGAAAUUGAUGAUAUGGAUAGUUAAUAAAGGUUGUGUGAGAUCCAAGUGUAUGGUUAUGAUGUUGUAUAUUAAUAUUAAUAUAGUGGGAUUUUGGUAGCCAUUAGAUUAGUUUUAAUUUAGAUCAUUCACUCUUGUAUAUAAACUAAGGUUUUUGGGUUAAUUUAUAUGCACAUUUUCUGUAUUCCCUUUCCAUAUUCCAUUAACUCACAUUGGUGGAGAUGAAGAGUAAUUUUGAUUGUUCUUGAAGAGUGCUUGGAUUUGGGAUUUUAGUUUAUGUCUAGCUUUUGCACUGUCUAAAUCUAAUUUUUUCCAUUUCCUUUAUUUUGUUUUUUCCUUUUAGGAUUUUGGUUUAGAUUUAGCUUUUGCAUUGUUUAGAUCUCCCUUUUCUUCUAACCUUUUUUUCAUUUCUCUUCUUUUACUCUUUUUUUUUCAUUCAUCUUCAUGGCAGAGCAGUAAUCUCUUCCUCCUUUAACUCUAGAGUAGCAAUUGGUUUAAUUACUUGAUGCAAUGUGAUUUCAAUUGAACAACUAAACUCAGUUAAUGGUGGCAUUCAUGGCACAUGGUACAACUCCUGCUCUUGGUGUCAACCCUCGCAUUCGACCAAAGUUAUUUCAUGGGAAUCCUAGAGAUGAUGUGUAUUAUUGGUUCGAUCACUUCAUAGUGAUUGCCACAUAUCAUUCUUGGGAUAAUGCUCAAUGUUUGUUUCCCAUGUGUCUCCAAAGGGAUGGCGCUAUAAUGGUACAAUGGUUUGAGUGCAGCCACUCGUGGAGUGUUCUCUUGAACAUCUUCAAACACACAUUGGAACAUGCUGACAAUUCUAAUGAUGCCUUCCAACAAUUGCAUCGUAUUUGUCAAAGGCUUUUGAGUCGGUGAUGCAAUUUGGCAUUCCUUUCCAAAGCCUCUUGCUUUAUGCAGAGCUAAAUAUGUCAGAGCAGAUUAAACUAGGAAUGUUAUGGCUAGCACUUUGUCAAGAUCUUGUUAAAUUUAUGCAUGCAUUUACUCUAGCCACCCUUGACAAUGCUUUUCGUUUAUCACAAUGUUAUGAGACAUCGCCUUUUCCACUUCUCACUGCAUAUCCUUCAGCUCCACUUCAUGUGGGCAAUGAUCCUGUUCCAAUGGAGGUUGAUGUUGUUGCUACUUGAGUACAAAGACAAAGGGGGUGAAGACAUAGUUAUGGCCAUGAUAUUCAUUAUUGGGCAUGUGAUGAAGUUGGUUACACUUAUCAACGUUGUUGGUGUUUUCUGGAUUAGUGGCCUCCAUUUCCUGGGUGGAGACCUUGGCGUCAAUAAUGUCCUAUUAGUGUUGCUACAAUGGAAGGUCUAGACACCAAGAUGCAUCCAGAAAACGAGGAGUCAUGCGAGUAAUGAAGGGACCUUGUGCAAAUAAAUCAAUAACCCCUCCAUCUAUCUUUUGGAAGUAUCAUCAAGAGGUUCACUUGACAUUAAUUCAUCCAAUGUUUACUUUCCAAACUCUUUUUUAUAACAAGAGGUCUCAUAUUAUUCUCUUUGUGUUGGUUGAUACAAGUUCGAGUUUAUCUUCUAUUGCUCGAUCUGUUGCCACAUGUUACGAUCUACACUUGUAUUGUGCAGUGGAGCUAGUUUUCAUUCUUUAUGGCAACGACCAUACACAUGCAUAUGCAUGGGAAGAGGCAGACCUAAUUGUGCAUAUGGGUGAUCUUGAGCUUGGGUUGCAAUCAUUGCAAGUGGUGUUGAGUUAAGCUUUUGACCUCAUUCGUGGUAUGGAUUGGUUGCAGCACAAUCAUAGCAAGUGUGAUUUUGAGGUUUCUCCCCUUUAUCUCACACUUUCCUAUAUUUCAUCCAUUCCUCUCAUUUCUAUACCUUUUUGUUCCUCUACUUUUCCAUUACUUUUCUCUUUAUUACUGUAAGCUCCUGAGUUUAGACUUCCCAGGAGGUCACCCAGCCUAGUACUAUUCAAACCCAAGGACGCUUAACCCCAAAUAUCCCAAGACCCUUAACCGAUUGGAAAAGGGGGUGCACUCUUGUUCAUGGGCCCUUUCCCUCUAUAUUUGAACCCCAUGGAUCGUCUCUCAAGUCGUUCCCUUUGGUUGCUUACAAUCCACCACGCUUCCCUGCAAGUUCACGCCCUCGUGAACGGAAGCUGAGAGCCGCAGCUCUCCCGAGAGCCCCGCUCUCUUGACACCCUACCCCUCGGGUCGAGCCCAGCGGGAGCAAACUGGACCAGCCAGAUGUCAAUCAACAUGUGGUGUGAUUCCCUUAGCCAACCAACUUAGUCGGACCCGAGACCUCUCUGAUACCAAAUGUAAGCUCCUGAGUUUGGACUUCCCGGGAGGUCACCCAGCCCAGUACUAUUCAAACCCAAGGAUGCUUAACCCCAAAUAUCCCAAGACCCUUAACCAAUUGGAAAAGGGGGUGCACUCUUGUUCAUGGGCCCUUUCCCUCUAUAUUUGAACCCCAUGGAUCGUCUCUCAAGUCGUUCCCUUUGGUUGCUUACAAUUACUUCCUCCUAUAUUUCCGUUUUGUUCCACACUUUCUUUUUCUAAUCCCUCUGACAAUCUUUGUGUUGUAAUGGUUGACCAAUUCAUGAAGGAGUAUGCUAAUUUCUUUGAAUUUGACUUAUCGUCUAGGGUUAAGAUUGCCACACGUAAUCUGAUUUCAACCAAGGAUACUCAUCCAAUCAAAGUUCCUGUUUGUCAUUAGUCACCCAAAGAUAUCAAGAUUUUACAUACAAAUAUCAAGGAGAUAUUGGAAAAGAGUGUUAUUCGAAAGUUAUGGAGUCCUUGGGCAUGUGAACUUCAUCUUGUAACGAAAUCUAAUGGGAAUAUUCAUUUCUGCAUCAACUAUCAUCCAUUAAACAAAGUGAUAAUCCCGAAUGUGUACCCUUUUCUUCACAUUGCUGAUUUCUUAGGUUAUUUAUGGAGAAAUCGUUGGUUCACCAAGUUAGAUUUUGCUUCUGGGUACUAAUAAAUACCAAUGGCUGAAGAAAAUAUUUUUAAAAUUGUUUUUCAUAUACCGUUUGGUUUGUACAAGUUUUUGGUGAUGCUGUUUAGUUUGAACAAUGCUUCAGCAACUUUCUAGUGGAUGAUAGACGAGGUUCUUUGCGAUAUGCAGAGAUGACUGCUGACUUCAUUGAUGAUGUCUUUAUCCACUCGAAGGGAUGUGGGAGGAACAUGUCCGUGAUGUUUGUAAAGUGUUGGAUUGACUAUAGGAUGUUGGUUUAAAGUUGAAAUGGUCAAAGUGCGUGUUUGGGUCCAAGGACACGAAUUAUCUUGGGUACCGUAUUUCUUGUGAGGGUUUGCAAGUUGACCCUGAAAAACUUGUGGCUGUUCUAAAGUUCCCUACUUUGAAGUGUGUAAAUGAUAUACAACACUUCCUAGGCAAAGCGCGAUAUUUCGGUUGUUUUGUAGAUCAUUUUUUUGAUUGCACUACACUAUUGGGAGCAUUGUUAAAGUUAUCAACGUCAUCUUUCAUUUGGUCUCCGGAUUGUGAGCAGGCAUUCAUGAAUCUCAAAGAGCUAUUGAUGACUCUUUUGGUUUUGGCAUAUCCUAAUUACACCCAACCUUUCAAUUUGUGCAUGGAUGCUUCUGAUAUUAGUUUUGGAGGUGUGCUGAUGCAAGAGAGCAUGCGUGUGUUUAGUCUGCACAAUCCCAUUGCAUGUAUAAGCGAAGGUGAACUACUCCACGAUAGAGAAGGAGUGUUUAACAGCAGUCUGGGGUUUUGAGAAACUUUAUGCAUAUCUACAUGGUUCUCAUACAUUACUAAAAGGUGAUCAUGCUACCAUUACUUCAUUAUUGAAGCGGAAGAACUUGGUUAGUCAUACUAGUCGGUGGGCUUUAAAGCUUUAGAUAUAUAAUUUUGAUGUUAUUUAUUGCCUAGAGAGUUCUAUGGCUGAUGCUAAUCCUUUUUUCAAGCUCCUAUUCUUCACUUUCUUCUCAUGUUUCUGACGAGUCUGUUGUUCCAACAUUUGUGGAUUUUCUAAACAAAGAUUUUUUGCCGUCGGUAGUUACUGUAUUUGAUGUUCAAUGUCCACAAGGUGCAAAACAAGAUCUACCUUCUCUUGAUGAAGUUCACAAAGUUUAAAAGAUUGAGCCAUGGAUUCAGAGGCUUUGAGAUGGGUUUGAAAAUCUUACAUCACUUGCUGAUGACUUGCCAUUCUGGCAUUUAUAUUAUCAAUAUUGCCUUAAAGAUGACGUUUUUUAUUUUGAGAGGAUGGAUCCUAAUGAUUAUUUACAACUAGUGGUGCCUUUCAUCUUUAUUCCAUGAUUUCUCCAUACUUACCAUGAUUCUUUUAAUCUAUGCAGGUAUAUGGGACAUCAUCAUAUGACUAAGAAGUUACGCAAGUCUUUCUAUUGGCUAGAGAUGCGACCUGAUAUUAUCCAGUAUGUGUGUAGUUGCAUUUGGUGCUAUGCUCAUAAUACUCCCUCUCGUGCCAUGAAAGGACGGUUGGAGUUAAUUGCAGUUUCCCAUCCAUUUGAGUUAGUGACGUUUGAUCUUAUGGGACCUUUUCCAUGAUCAAUUGUUAGCAAUGAAUAUAUUAUUAUUGCUUCUGACUAUUUGACUCAUUGGGUGGAAGCUAGUGCUCUUGUUAGUGCCUCUGUAACUACUGUUGGACACUUCCUCCUCAAUCGAGUGGUGUUUUAGCAUUUUUAUCUAGAGCAGAUUCUUUCAGAUAAAAAGAAUAAUCACAAAGUAUGUGAACUUUUAGCAUUCGGAUUGAGAUGGUUAUUUUUCAUCUCUUUGGUAUACAUAUGUCAUAGGGGUGUAGAGUUCUGUUGGUGUUUCACCAUAUAAACUCUUAUAUGGUCAUGAUCCAAUAUUACCAACGAAGCUGAGUUUACCUUUGCGAUUGCCACAAGUUGCCAAUGCUAGGUCGUUGGAUUAGUAUUUGAUAAGCAUUCUUCCAUUUAUCCAAGCAGAGUCUACCAAACACUUAGGCCGUAUACAAGUGAGAUAACAAUAAUGCUACAACUCCCAUCAUUAUCCACCUGUAAAGUACAAAGUGGAUGACUUAGUGUUAGUCUAUUUUCCCCAUUUUACGGUAUAUAGUUUAUCUAAGGGGCUCUUUGCUUAGUGGAAAUGACCAUAUUGGGUGUUGUGGCAAGUUGGACCACAAGUUUAUGAGAUUCGACAUGACGUAUAGCAGGCUGAUCCUCUAGAAAUUGUGCAUGUGUAGUGGUUGAAACACUUCAUAUAAAGGGAUUAGGAACAAUUGAUACCACCUAUAGAUUCGCCGAUGCCUCCUCCUGACAUUCCUCCAAAUCCCGGCCUAUCUACAAGAGAAUUUUGAUGGUCUUCUAUUUUUCUGAGAGGAGGGGAUGAUGGGAGGUCCAAGUAUAUGGCUACGAUGCUGUAUACUAAUAUUAGUGUAAUGGGAUUUUGGUAACCAUCAGAUUGAUUUCAAUCUUGACCAUUCGCUCUUACAUAUAAGUUAGGGUUUUUGGGCUAAUUGAUAUGCACAUUUUCUAUAUUCCCUUUCCAUAUUCCAUACACUCAUAGCUAGAAUAUAUGCAAAAGAGUGAGAUAGUGAUUGAUUACAGAUGAGGCUAGCGUGUGUAACUCAUCUUAGUUGUGUUGCUUGAGGCUUGUUACGAAUAUAAAUAACAAGUUUUAUGAUGAGACACAAUGCUUGAAGGUGCUGAAUAACUGGUGUAAACUUUUCAGUCCAACACAGAUAUAAUGGCUUUAAAAGGUAGUGUUUGCGUAUUUUGAAAAAAAAAAUGACUUGAUACUUUGUUAAGGUUAAGCUCAAGGUUUUGAUGAAGCUUCACUCUCCAAGUCUUAGUAAGAAUCUCCCACUUAAGGCUAGUGGUAUGUAGUUGAUUUGUCAAUGGAUUUACUUCUAGUUAUGUUGAUCACUCAAGACUAAGAAUUGAGUAGCUUGAACUUCCAAGACUCCUCUACAUAAAACAGCUCAAAUGGGUCUCAAUAACCAUCUACGCAAAAUAGCGCCAUAAGCUUCGUACUUCCCCAAUGGUGGUAAGCUCCAAUAUGUAAGAAUCUUGUUGUUAAUAUAAACUUCAUUGAUCACUUCAAACUCUUGUAAUAAUCUCAAUGUAUAAAUGUCAUGUGCUGAAUGGUUUAAGACAACACUAUGAACUAUUUGAAUAGCCACUAGAUCAAAGUCUUGAAUCAUGGUUUGUAAAAAUAGAAGCUUGUAGCUCAACUGGCAAUGUGAAUACAAAUUGAUUAAGACUGGGACUUGUAUUAAACUUAUGAGCUUAAGCUUAAGAUAGUAGACAUGUUUCACAUUUGACACAACACAACAAACAUACUCUAUCAGAAUAUCUUAGGUUUGAAUAAAUGACUAAACUAUGCAGUGCCUCUUCAUGAGGUUCCUCACCAUAUAAACUACCCCUGAGCUACUUCAAAAGCUCCAUUGUGCUGCAAUUGCUAUUAUAAUGCAAACCUUCAAAGAAAAAGAGGUCUUGGAUAAAGUGCUGAUUUUUUGAAAUGUCAACACCAUAAUGUCAGCUUAUGACUGGGAUUAACAGAUACAAAGAGAACGUUCCUCUUAAUGCCUUUUUACAAUCAACUUGCAUGGUGUGUUCUUCUAACUGGCUAUAGAGAUUACAGUGAAUUUGAUGAAUUAAUUGAAGCCUUCAAUUGAAUGCUCUUGCAUGACAUAGUGUUAUGGAACAUUAUGAUCUUAGUCUUGUGAGUCUUGUCUUGUGAGUUUUGGGUGGGUGCGCUUGGUGAAAAUGAGUUGGAGUGUGGUUGAGAGAUAUUUGCUGGCAAGUGUUGUGAUCUUUGAUCAUAUGAUGAUAUAUAUAUGCAAAUAUUUCAUAAAAGUAAAAUAUCUAUGGAAUGCCCCUAACAAAUUUAUCAUAAAUACAUGAUCAUGGAUGUGUUUACUACCAGCCAGACUUCAACUAUCCUUGAAGUCUCUAAAGAAUGAAGUAGGUUGGUUGAAGAAAAUUUUGAGUUGUAAAAGUCACAGAUGGAAAGAGUUUUCAAUAAAACACUAUUAUGCGUUAGAUACUAUAAAAAAUUGAAACAACACAAAGAAGAUUAGCAUUGCAAGGAUUAUAUAUAAACCUUCAUGGACAUGGAUUGGGAGUUCUAGGGCACCAAAAGGACCCAUAAGUUCUAGACUCAAUGUUUUGUGCCGAAGGCUGCACGGCCAUGGUGUUGCUGUUGAGCGACCAUGACACAAAGGUAGCGAGCAUGGGUGAUUACUGCUGUGUGGCUUUCAGGGCCAGGGUGGCAGAAGAGCUGAGCCAGGAUCACAAACUAGACCUCCCUGACAAGAGAGAGAGUGCAUCGAGACCAUAGAUGGCAGUAUUACUUUUGGGUGGCUCAAGGAUCUCAAUGUGAGUAGGGGCGCACUAUAGGCAUGGAUAAACUAUUUUGGCAAAAUAUAAUAGGAUUUUUACUCUCUUAUAUAAUCCAAGGUAGUUAUUUUUUCUCAUUUUUUAAAAAUGGUUUUAAGCAUUGCCCUUUUUAUAGGCUAUAUUCCAAGUUGAUAAUUGCAAUAGUAAAGUUUAAAGUUGAUAAUUGCAAUAGUAGAGUUUAAAGUUGAUAAUUGCAAUAGUAGAGUUUAAAGUACAAGACCAGAUGGCCAUAGAAAUAUUUUGGAAGUCCCUUUUUGACAUUGUAUUGAAGUGGAUUGGUAAGCUUGCUAAAUUUUGCAAUUUUAUAGCAAAUGGGACUAGGGCUAAUUGGAAUGGCAUUUAAGUAGUUUUUAGGAAUGGUCAACUCCUAAAAGGUCAUGAGAGAACUUGUGAAUUCUAUUGCAAAGCCUAAACUAGCACUAUCACUUUAUCAAAUUAGAUUUUCAAUUAGCAUUUAAUGAGUUGUAUAAAUAAUGGUAGGUUAUACUUUUUGAAAAAAGAGCAUGAGGCAAAAACAAAUAAUAUUUGAAUCUGGUGAGAUAAAGAUAGUCAUACAGACAUAAGUUGUCUACCACAACUUGAGUUAUGGUUGGAGUGGUGGGAAGUUAGGAUGUUCUAAUAAGGACAUCACUCUCUUUAGGUUGGUUUUUUUUUUUUUAAUCUUUUUAUUGUCUUUUAAUAUUGUCUUUUUCAUUAAAACCAACCAUAUUGAUUUUGUAUAUACCCUAACUAUGAAUCUCUCAGAGAGUAAAGAUUGGAGCUAGCAUUCCUUUGAGGCAGGGAAAGGGAAGAUGAAUUUAUACGAAGCAUGUCUAUUGAAUUUGAUAUAUAUUAUAGAGAAGGGGAAGACAAGUUUAUAAAAAGUAUAUUUCAGAACAAUCUUCAAAAGCCUUGGCAUUUAAGGAAGGAAGACACAUGGGAAUAAAACCUUCAAUUAAGAUGUUACAUGAUUGGAUGAAGAAAAAAUGACUCCAUUAGUACAAAUAGUGGCAAUUAUAAUGGACGAAAUGGUUUGCAACACAUGUAUAGAAUAUACUCCCUAGGCUUCUAUUAGUGACAUAAAGACUAUCCACUCAAAGUGUUUUUUUUCCUUUGCUGGUGAAAAUGUUGGUAUAUACCUUAGAGCAAAAAGCUCUCGCACGUUUAAUGUUGAGUACCAUUUUACUCCAAGACAUCACUUUUGGUAUAUUAGUGGAUUCUCAUAAUUUAACCAAGAAUAUUUUUUAUCCCUACUAUAAAGUGAUUUGGCAAGUUUAAGAAGUGAGGAAGAAUAAAAUGGUUAUUGUACAAGAUUAACAUAUGGUAGUUGGAAGCUAUUGAAAGUAUCAUAUAAGCUAAUAUUGAUGUGGAAAAAGAAAAGAUACCUUGGAGUAUUUUAAGGCAUUGAUGAAAGAAUUAAUGCCAUGGUUGAGGCAAUAGAAUAUUAUACUAGAUAAGUACUUUAUGUUCACCAAGCCAAAACUUGUAUAUCUCUAUGACUUACAAUAACAUAUUUGGUCUGAUUGUAGCUCAUGGGUUGAUGAUACCUCCAUCUUAAAUCUUUGAGAAAUACCCAACUUUUAAUUUUUAAAGUAGAAAUAUUUAAGCAUUUUUAGGAAGUUUAGACCUCCAACUUUCAAAGGAGAUGCCCCUCUUGAUGAGAAUCAAAAUUGGGUUGUCACCUUGUCUACAACUAAAAAUGUCAAUAGAUGAAUUGAUUAUAGCAUUUUACUUUAAGCUAAUAUUGCUAUGGCAUAAGGGGUAUACUAGGGUUUGGUGGAAAAUAAAGAGGAAUUCUUUAUCUAUCUAGAGGGAUUUAUAAUGGGCUUGAAUUAGUUUGAGGCAAAAUUUGAUGAAAAAUUUCUGAGUUUAAAUUGUUGAAUAGGUUGUGAGCUAAGAAGUAAAAAGAGAAGAAAGAUGUUCAAAUAUAUGUAGACACAUUGAAUUGACUCACAAUACAACUUAGAUCUUCACUAGUGACAAAUUGACAAUUGCGUAGAUAUUUUUGUUAAGGCUUUAAAAAAAUUUUGGGAGCAAAUGUAAUUUUAUGCCCAAACAAUACACCAAACAUGCAAAUUCAAGAUACAAAAGGAGUGAAGAUUCAAUCAAGAUUCCUAAAGAUAAAUCUUUUAAAGAAAAAAUAAACAUCAAAUGAGUAACUACAGAAUGUUAAGGAUAUUGUAACAACUUUAACACAAGAAUUGAAGAAAGAUAAAUCAUUAGUUCAUAUCUUUUGGGAAGAGGUUAGUUGACGAAGGUGGUGGAGCAAGAUGAUAAAUAUGAUAAUAACAAUUUAGUUUGAUAUUGUGUAAUGAACCAACAACAUUCAACUACCAACCAUGAUAUAUAAUUUGACACAAAGACAUAGGUAGAUUCUAUUAAUAGAUCUUUAGAACUAGAAAAUCUAAAUAAAUACCCAUUUAAACCAUACUAGAGCCUUAGAGAGAGAAAAAAAGGAAUUAGAGCAAAAACUAAUACAUAAAGGGAUGUAAAUAUUAUUAGGAAGUUAAGGCUAAUAGAUGAUGGAAAUUUUAAUAAAAGAUCCUUUGUGGCUAAUAGGUAACAGUAAACAUUUCAAUGGCAUUGCAAUAAUAUCUUUAAAAAUAAUUAUGUAGAGGGGAACCUACUUGUGAUGGUGUAAAUUAAACUUAGAUAUGAAUGAAGGUAAGUACAGUUUAAUGUGAUGCAUUACAAUGAGGUGGUAAGGCUCCAUGUGUUAUUAGAUGACAAGGGGCUAAAAGAGGAGGAUGCUAAUAAAAAUCCUUAAAUAGGGCAAUUAUAAAUAAAAUUUCAGGUCAUGUCCAUUAGAAUAAGAACUUGUACCAUAGCAUUGCUCAUUGCUUUCCACUUUUACCUUUUAUCUUUGAGAAUCUUAAAAUUUUGGAAUCCUUUGCAUGCGUUAUAGCCCUACUACACCCUAAUCCAUCUCAUUAUUCUAAUUGCUUCAAGUUUGACCAUUCACAAGUUUGUAUAAUAAAAACUAACAGUCCCACUCCUGCUAGUCUAGGGUAAUCCUAGCUGCAAGUGUAGGUCAUUAUUGUGCAGCUUUGGCCAACCAAAUGUAGAUAUGGCUAUAGCUACUAUAGCCAUGGCCAUGGGCUUCUUUUGGCCCAUGACCACAUAGCUUGCUAUAAAGAUAAAAUAAAUAAGAGCACAUAGAGAUUUUACAUGAGUGUGGUUACUAGUUGUGGCUGGCUAUAGCAACCUAAGCCUAUAGCUAUGGCAGCCUGGUGUAACUUGCCAAAAGAAAAAAAAAUAUAGAAUAGUAGGUUGUGUUUUUGGCUAUAACUCUAGCCGCAUUAAAUAUGGAGUUAAAUGCUUGUCUGAGGAGAAAGAGAAUCUUAACAAUCUAUCAUAACCAAAAAUUUGAAAAAAAAAACAAGAAAAACCUUAUCCUACUAUCGACUUCACAACCAUGUUACCAUAGCUUCACCACAGCUAGGGUCUGGCACUGGUACAAGUGCAAGGAGUAAUGGACAAUCCUAAGAAUGCUUGGCAUGCACAAAGAGGCCCUUGCAUUUGAAUUUGUCUAUUGUAUAUUAUGACAUUGUCAUUUAUGACAUGUCAUCAUGUCCACAUGGUAAAUAAAGGCCAAGGAGAUGAUUUGCAACUUACAUCUAGCAACCCUAAUUCAAUAUCCAAAACCUAGGGCUUUAGCUCAGAUAGAUUCAUUUAUUCCCAUAUAAUAUUCAAGAAUUAUUUGACAUUCCCGCAUUCUACAAUUUCACUACUAAAAGAAGAUUGAUUAAUGGUUCACAAUGAGCUUUGAAACGUCUACUACUAGGAUUUCUAGGGUUCAUGAUUCCUCCUUGAUCUUCUCAAGCUCCAAUUUAGCAGCAUCAUUAGGCUUUAGGUAGCAUCUGAAAGAAAAAAGUUUAAAAUCUAGAUGAUUUGAAAGAUACAAAAGGGAAUAGUACCUUCUCUAAUCUUACUUCCACCAUGUGUUUAAUCAUUUUUAGUUGCAACUAGCUUAGGAGCAAAUGCUAAGAAUUUGAUCGUUGAAUGAGAAGAUCCAUAACCAAUGAUACUAGAUGAAUUUGCCUUGCACUUGACAAUGUUUGCUAUGCAUUCAAUAGAAAUUUGUGAGUAAUAACAAUUUGUCUCAUUGCCUUAUAAGGCAUCAUUGUGUAAUCUGGACAUAUUAAAGCUAUGAAGAACUUUUGCCUAGUAAUAUCUUUUUGUGUUUUUUCUAGUGCCAUUUUAAGUAUUUCUGAGCUAUAUUUGAGUUUAGUUUCUGGUCCCCAUCACCAUUCCAUUCCUCUAUUUUUCUAUAAGUUUUGCUUCCUUGGCUACUUGUUUUUCUUGUUCUCUUAGUUGUUUUGCAAUGUCAAGCUUAAAGAAAUUGAAUAGAUCCUUAGGGCCAUAGCACUUUUGUUUGCCAAUUUGCAGUGAGAUAGAUAUUUCUUUUUAAAAAAGUUUCUGGACCUAUUUAUAUCUUUAAUUUUACUUUUUAAUUUUAUUCACUUGGUUGGGAUACAGCCCCCUACUAUUGUGGCAAGGCAAUUGUUGGAUUUAGAGUAUGAACAUUCUAGGCAGUGAAUCCCUGCUAGGUUGAAAAUGCCAAUUGGCGAUAAUUUAGGGGCUAGUUUACAAGACUUUGGUAUUUUUGUUAAACUUUGAAAACCUUUCAAAGAGGAAUUUACCAAGUGCUAGUGGAUUUCCUUACAUGACAAUAUAUUUAGCAUUUCAAAGCUAUUUGUUUCCUGCUAGAAUCAUUAUUUUUGUACACGAAGCCUUGUUUCUGAAAUUGAUACGAUAUGGAAACAACUCGUACCAAAGGAACGUGGUCGAGUGGUUUAAGAAUAUUCUUCCAAUUGGGAGGUGCCCUAGAAUGGAGUGUACGCUGAGCGGCAAUGCCGUCAAGGGCUUGCAUCGUGCCGUGGCGUGCCUGGCGCGCGUCGGCCCGGAGCUCCUACUAGAGGCGCUGCCGGACAAGGUGAGAGAAAAUCUAAGCGAGGAGGAGGAGGAAGAGGAGCAGCGCGAUCUCUUUUCUUUUUCUUUGCUAGGUGACCCUCCGAUCGCUCAACUCGGCGCGCUCGGCGUUCGUCGCGAUCACAUUCCGGCGCCACUUCUUCGAUAGGCUGCAGCUCUCUUCCUCGAGCGCUCAGUGCGGUGUGCUUCUCAAGGUGUGAGCCUUUGUCCUCGAGGAGCGCCUAGUCUUGGGGUUGCUAAUAUCGUCUUUAAGGCCGUGUGCACUGUCUUGCGGACGCAACCAGGCAGUGUAGAGCGCAUGGCGAUCACGCUGCCGGACAGCAAUGCUUCCAAGUUGAAGUGGACGAUCGACUGCUUGAAUGGUAUGUUGUUCGUCUUGGCUUUGGAAUGUGUUUUCGUAGCUUAUGUCGCGAGCUUUCGAGCAGGGCUGAGGAAAACGUACUGGAUAUCUUGCAACAACGACAUAGAAAUGCAGCAUGUAGCGAUCGAGAGGAACAUUUUUCCCAGCAAUCUGGUGGCAAGGCCUCGUGACUUCAGCAGGCUGCUGGCUAAUUUCCAGUCGAGCUUGCAAGAGAUUACUCUGAUCGCCACCGAGCCUUUCCUUGCGCCUACUGAGUCGGAAGGCAAGGCAGUGGAACUCAGGAGCUACAUCGACCCCGUCAAAGGUAUGUUGUUGCUCGCUCGGCUCUAUAUGUUUCGUUUUCUUUGUUCUGUGCCCGUAGAAAACAACGAUGGCGCACUUCAUACUCAACUUUGGAUUGAUCCCGCCGAAGAAUUGCGAGACUAUCAUCACACUGGGGUCGCAGUGGACGUUACGUUCAGCGUCAAGGAGCUCAAGGUGCCUCACUUAUCACUUAUCUUAAGAGGAAAUCCUAACAUCUAUAGCCUUUGCAUGCUUCAGGCCUUUAUGAAUUUUUGUGAAGGUUCAGAGGCUGAUAUGCAGCUUUUCUUUGACAAAGCUGGAAGGUACUUAUCUUUCAGUGUCUUAUUGUAUUCUAGUUACAAAAUCCACGUCCUGUGUGCAGCCCGAUUCUCCUUGCUCCAAAGUUCAGUGUUGAUGAUGCCGCAAAUGCCGAUUUUGACGCAACUCUUGUGCUAGCGACUAUGCUGGGCUCUCAGCUUAGAUCCAGUGAUUCUGCUAGUGAUCGAGCUCCAACAGAUGCUCAGCCUGCACAGGGCGCUCCCCAAGCGGGUUAUACUACUCCAAAGAAUGCAGCUAAUAAGGAAACAGCGGGAACGGGUUCAGGCCCUCGGUCUGAUCAUACUGUAAUUUGGUCAGAGCUUUCAGGUACAUUUUGUCAAUCGUGGACAAGCUAAAGUCACUCCGUUUUACAGGCACGGCAGAUCAAAGAGGAAGAGGGUAUGCUGACAGACUUGCAAACCAACAGCCUCGUCAAAUAUUCCCGGAUAGUGGCGACGCUACCGAGGAACUUCCUUUCCACCGGCAUGAGUUUGUUUUUAAGAUCCAUCCACCUCUUUUGUUCCUCACAUCUGUCAUUUUGCUCUCGGCAGUGUCACGUUAGAGAAGGAUGUCCGGAAUGGUACAGAGGAUGACGUCGUGCAGCAGCAACCCAAUGGUGAAUGCUUUUCGGUGUUUGUUGUUUCAAGCUAAGCUUGUAAGUUGUCAAUGCAGAUGAGCGUAGUGCACAACAGCUGUUUGGAAAGGAUUUGAGCAACUGGAUUGCUGCCGAUACAGACGAGGAAAGCGAUGGGGAUGGGUUUUGCGUUCAAGCAACACCUCCCCACCGGAGGGGGUGAAAGAGGGCGCUGGUAUGUUCUUGUCGAGCCCGCUUUCGCUUUUCACGCUUGUCGUUCAAAUUCCAGUUGCAAGUCAAUAACGUGUCUCCAGUUUUGCUUUCGACUGAACAGGCAUUUCCCAAGUGCACUCAAGUUACGAUGACAGGCAUGAAAUCUUGUCCUGGGCCUAUCAGAGCUCUUCCUUUAACAGGAACCGACAGCCUAGCAAAGAUGACAAUUUUUAGCAAGCAACAUAUUCAACUUGUGAUAUGUUGAUACAAAUUAUUCCUUUGUGUCAUAUGUUUUUUGUGAUCGGGAUUCUAGUCCAUGCAUCCUAGACAGGCACAAGUGGGCUGAAAAUAUUUUGAACCAGCUGGAGAUCCCGACAAGCGUGAAAUUAUUUCAAAGAAACAAUUCUUCCAUUGUCUUGGACAACUUGUCCCCAUCUUGCACGAGUCUAUGAUCCUCGUAUGCCAAGGUUUUGCCGAAGACACUAGCGUCCAAGCCGGUAUCGACGAGAGACGAGCAGGGUCCUCGCCUGAGCUAUUAAAGUUGGCCAGCGUUUUCCAUCACCUAAGACUCCAAUGGCAAAAGGUUCCAACCAUGUUGUUCUUGUUCCUCUUCCAGCACAAGGCCAUCUCCUGCCAAUCCUCUACCUCGCCAGGAAGCUCGCAGCGCAUGGAUUUGCGGUAACCAUCGUCAACAUCGACAGCGUCCACGAGAGUGUGAAGCAAAACUGGAGGAACGUUCCACAGCAAGACAUCCGCCUGGAAUCGAUCCAGAUGGAGCUCAAGGUCCCCAAAGGCUUCGACGCCGGCAACAUGGACGCAGUGGCUGCAUUUGUGGAUUCGCUCCAGGCCCUGGAAGAACCACUGGCGGAUCUCCUCGCCAAACUCAGUGCUGCUCGAGCCGCGUCGUGUGUCAUCUCGGAUUUCUAUCACCCCUCGGCACCGCACGCCGCGUCCAAGGCCGGAAUUCCCUCCGUGUGCUUCUGGCCUGGGAUGGCGUCGUGGGCUUCGAUCCAAUACAGCCAGCCUUCGAUGAUCGCUGCUGGUUAUAUUCCAGUCGAUGGUAAAGUUGGUUCUUUUUUCUGGAGUUUCUUCUUAUCGGAUUUUUUCUCUAAACUGCCAGAGUCGAAUGCUAGCGAGAUUGUCGAUCUUCCCGGCUUGAAACCGAUGCGAGCGGACGAUCUCCCGUUCUAUCUCCGCAAGGACUUCUACCACAAGCUGGGGAGGGAUAGAUUUCUUCGCCAGCUCGAACGAGCGGCCAAGGAUACGUGGGUCUUGGCAAACUCAUUCUACGAGCUGGAACCGCAAGCUUUCGAUGCCAUGCAGCACGUCGUUCCAGGAAAGUUUGUCCCGGUCGGGCCCCUCUUCCCACUCCGAGAUCGCGAGGCGAGUGGGAUGGAGGCGAGCUUGCGGCCGGAAGAUCACAGCUCCAUCGGCUGGCUCGAUCGCAAACCUCUCAAAUCGGUGCUCUACGUCGCGUUUGGGAGCAUCACGGUGCUGAGGCCCGGGGAAUUCGAGGAGCUGGCACGGGGGCUGGAAGAGAGCGGGCAUCCCUUCCUCUUCUCUGUUCCUCGUGAGAUGGUGCCGGAGGUGGGGGACGAUCGCGUGGGCGAAUUCGCGGAGAGGGCGGCUCGAUCGGGCGCCGGGAUGGUGGUGCGGUGGGCGCCGCAGCUGGCGGUGCUCCAGCACCCAUCGGUGGGCGGAUUCCUGAGCCACUGCGGGUGGAAUUCCAUCCUGGAGAGUGUGAGCAGCGGCGUGCCGGUGCUGGGGUGGCCGAUCGCGUCGGAGCAAAACACCAAUUGCAAGCUCGCGCUCCAGGAGCGGGGGGUCGGGAUGGAGCUGGCGGACAGAUCGAGCGGCGGCGUGGCGAGCGCGGUCCGGGAAUUGAUGGCGAGCGAGGAGCUGAGGAGGAAUGUGGCGGAGAUUGGGAGGAACGCCCGGGCGGCCGCGGCCGCUGGCGGAUCAUCGCACAGGAACCUCCAUGAUUUCUUCCAUUCCUGCCAAGAUCGAGAGAUUCUACUGCAAAUCAAGCAACAAUCCCUAAUCUAGAGAGAGAGAGAGAGAGAGAGAGAGAGAAAUAUUCCAUUCUCUGGCAAAAGGAUAUUAUUAUUCUCUCCCCCGUGCGGCAAGAUUCCACGAUCCGGCCGUCCAUUCAAAUGGCCACGAUGCCGAUGGAUAGAAAGAGCUUGGAGUCUCCGCAGUGAUCUUCCGUCCGGGUCACGCGCCAGGGAUCGCAGGGCUUCCAUCGCAUCGGUCCUUCCUCGCGACGCGACCGGCGAGGAUUGAAGCGCAGUGUUAGGGUUUACUCUCCUGUUCCUCUCUCCUGUCUCUCUCGAUCUCUCGAUCGAUCGACAGCGAAGAUGCGAUUUCCAAGGCUCUGGCAGCGCGGAGGAGUUUUGGGGAGCUCCGAUCGAGGCUAGGGUUGAAAUUUCCCCCCUUCAUCCAUCCAUGGCUCCUCCAAACACGAGCUAUGUCGAAGUGGGAGAGGCGCCGGCGCUGCUGGAGAGCGAGACGACCGAUGUGGUUGCAGAGGAGGCUGGCGCAUUCGUCCUGCCGCCAAAGAUCCCCGUGCCCGCCGCACUGUCGAGCAAAUUUGGGGGCUCGCCCCCCGCCAGCGUCUACGAGCUCCUCGAGUGCCCAGUCUGUACCAAUUCCAUGUAUCCUCCCAUCCAUCAGGUAAAAGCUUCUUUCUCUCUCGAUUUCCUGUUCUCUAUCCAGUUUGAUCCAUCGUUGGUGUUCUCUUUCCUUUUUCUUUCUCUUGUGUAGUGCCCGAAUGGUCACACUUUGUGCUCUACGUGCAAAGUCCGCGUCCACAACCGCUGCCCGACUUGCCGAUACGAGCUCGGGAACAUCCGGUGCUUGGCUCUGGAGAAAGUUGCCGAGUCCCUCGAGUUACCAUGCCGGUACCAAAGCCAUGGCUGCCCGGAGAUCUUCCCCUACUACAGCAAGCUCAAGCACGAGUCCCAGUGCUCCUUCCGGCCUUACAAUUGCCCCUACGCGGGGUCCGAGUGCUCCAUCACCGGAGACAUCCCGACUCUCGUCGCCCAUCUCCGGGACGAUCACAGAGUUGACAUGCACAAUGGCUGUACCUUCAACCAUAGAUACGUGAAGUCCAAUCCACAGGAGGUCGAGAACGCGACAUGGAUGCUCACUGUAAGUUCGUCUUUGAUUCUUCGUCUUGUUUCUUGUUUUUCGUUUUGUUCCUGUGGACUGAUCCGAUGCUUGCAGGUUUUUAAUUGCUUUGGCCAACACUUUUGCCUCCACUUCGAGGCCUUCCAGCUCGGGGUGGCGCCCGUGUACAUGGCCUUCUUGCGAUUCAUGGGGGACGACAACGAUGCCAAGAACUUCAGCUACAGCCUCGAAGUCGGAGCCAACGGGCGCAAGUUGAUGUGGCAGGGAGUUCCCAGGAGCAUCCGGGACAGCCAUCGUAAGGUCCGAGACAGCCACGAUGGUUUGAUCAUCCAGAGAAACAUGGCACUCUUCUUCUCUGGAGGGGAUAGGAAGGAGCUCAAGCUUAGAGUGACUGGCCGGAUCUGGAAGGAGCAAUGACAGGGCAGUUUUGAGUGGAUGGGGCUGUAGGAGAUAGUUGUACAUUAUCAUCACCAGCAGGAAGAAUUCUUCUCCGAGGUUUGGGAUUUUAGUUUAGAACUUGGGCUUUGGAUCGAUCAGGGCCUGGCAGGAGAAUGAGCUUUGGUUGGUUGGAAGCUGUAACAUGGUCAAAUCUGAGACUAGAAACACUGGCAAAAUGGAAAAUCCUUCCUUGAAAAGCUUGCUGAAAGUUGAAAGCUUUGGAAAAGUCUUCCAGAGGAAAAGGUGGCCGGAUGGAAGAAUUUGGAAGCAGCGAUGUCGAGUUUUCUUUCAAGCUGGAGCUGCUGCUGUUACAUCGGAUGGAGCCGGAGCCGGAGCUGGAGGUGGAGCUCGAGAUCGAACUGGCGGAGGUGGUCGGACUGCUGGAGGAGCCGGAGACGCGGGAUCAUACCAGCCGAGAGCGAUCUCCAGCGCCUUUUUGGCGCGAGCGAGGCGGGACUUUCGCCUCCGGCCGGUGUUCCUGUGGAGCGUGCGAACCUUGACAGCCUUGUCGAUCACCGAGUAGGCCUCGCCGAUCAUCACCUCGACGGGCUUGAGCUCCUCGGGCGCCGCCCCCUCGGCCUUCUUCUUAAGAUCCUCGAGCGCCGAGAACACCUUCUUCAUCCUCGUCCGGAUCUCCGACUUCCUGGCCUUGUUGUAGAUGCGCCUCUUCUCGGACAAGAGCGCCCUCUUCACCGCCGACGACAUCUUCUUCUUCUUGGGCACCUCCUCGUCCUUGGCCGCCGCUAGAACCCGGAAUCUAGACGCUGGGCUUGCUGGAGUCGUGGUUCCUCUCCUGGGCUCCAGGUUCGCGAGCGAGGACGCGAGCCUGGCGGUCAGAUUGCCUGCAUUGCCACAACGGAAAAUCGAUGCCACACGGCUCUAGCUCAAAUCUCCGCGUACCCAAAUCGUCGCCGAAGAAGAGCGAGCAGCUCCUGCCGCCGCUGGUGCUACAAAUCCCGGAAGCCCGAGGCGCCGUGGCCCAGGGCUGGCGGCACGCCCACGCCGUUGUCAUCGUCGUCGCCAUAGCUCUAUCCAAAGUUUUAGGGUUUGUGGGUUUAAAGGAGGGUUGCGCACCCAACCAUUAAAUCUUGCAGUUCCGUAUAAACUUUUAGAAAUUAAACUAGUUUUGAUUAUUUUCACUGUAAGAAUUACUGUUAAAUAUUAACUAGAAAUACAUUAAAUUAGGUUAAAAUCUUCUCACUGGUUGGGCGGGAUAACAACAAUGGAGAUAUUGUCUCUACUCAAAUCGCUCGCCUUUCUAACAGCUUGAUCUGCCACUGCCUGGCCCAAUUCAGAUGUUGUUGGAUCAACCAUCGCGGCUAUGUCGCAAACCUCUUGCUCGCUCAUCCCUUCGUAGAGCCCAUCCGAGGCCAACACGAUAAACCCAUCUUUGUUGGUGUUCGUCCACAUCGACACGUCUGGGGUGGCAAUCACGCCGUGGUUCUUGAGCGGGAGGUCCCCGAUGGCGCGCGACAUUGGAAAGUGGCCAUCGAUCACGCCGAAGCGUACCACGCCGCCCGCGGCCUCUAUCCGGUGCUUCUCUGCGGGUAACUCCGGGUGAUGGUCGCUCGUUAGCGCCUUGGCAACCAGCUUCUCGCCACCGUCGCGGACGCACGCGAUCGCCCUCGAGUCGCCAACGUUGGCCACGACCAUGAACUCGUCCGUCACUACUGCUACGCACGCGGUGGAUCCCGCUGGCCACCGGUUCUUGUAGGCUUCCUUGAGAAACGAGCUCUCCAGCUCUGCGAUGGUCUUCUCCAGAGCCGCCCUGACAACUCCAGCGUCGAUUUUACUGCUAGAGGCAUCCAGUGAUCCCCGGAGGUUUGCGCGGAGCUUGGGCUCGAAGUUCUGGACGAGGAACUCGCUGGCCUGGGAGCCUAUGUGGCCGUCGAAGAUGGCGAAAACUCCCACCCGGCUAUCACCAUGAUCGGCGAGCAAGUCGGCAAGCGCUAGUAGCCGAUCUUCCUGGUAUCUCCGGCGCCCUUGAAUGCUCAGAUGCCCACUGGACCACCCUGUUGAUACUUCCACUGCUACAACACUACUCACCAAGAGCUCCAAGAGCGCCAAGAGAGCCAAGAGCUUCUUCAUCCUUCCUUACCCUAGAAAAGGAAGCUCUAUAUAAUCGUUAUAAACAUCCGGUCACAUGUGACAAGUUAAGGCGUGUCUUACCAGCCAGAAACUUGGGGGGCUUCUUGAGCGUCACGGCACCGCGCUGCUUCUCUAGGUCGGGUGCAGGAUCGCAGGACUGGCACGCGGAUCAAUGGCAACUAGUAACUGUGGGCUUGUGUGUUUGUUUCUUCUCUUCUCAAUUCCCGUUAGCGCUAGCGUCUCUUUGAGCCUAGUCUCAAGAUUUGCCAAUGCCGGUGAUGCAAGUCAAGCGAGAGAGAUUUUCCUCCUCUCCUCACUAGUCGAUUCUUCUUUUUCUUCCUUGAUCUCCGCUCAGAAGCUCAUCUACGUAGCAAGUGAGUACCUUGUUGAGGUAGUGUUCGGAUCCAGCAAGAAGCUGAUUUUCGACAGGAAGCACAUAUAUAAAGUGCUCCAGAAGCAACUUAGGAUAUCCACACAGCUCAGACACAUUCAAGCCACUCAAUUGCAGCACCAACUGCCAAUGGUGACAGACAAUGGUGGCUGUUUGUUCCAAGUUAUAUACCUCUCCAAUUAUGUCCUAGGUGAACUCUUUAGCUUAUUAACAUAGUGCAUUGAAAUAGUGUAGAAGAGGUGGUGUAUAGGAGAAGGUGUACAAGACACAAUGGAACUCAGGGGACUCAAAGAGUAUGCUUUGGUUGUGGAUAUGCAUGGGGAAUCAGUCACAAGUAUGGAGUGUGGAUUUACAAUGUCAAGACCAUCAGUGAAACAAACAAGGGAGCAAACUUUAGGCCAACCUCAGACGGGCUAUAGAAUAUUCUCAGAAUAUUCUUGUGGUUCCUCCUAGCCACAAAUGGCAGCCUCAAAAAGUUAAAUAAACCUCACAUAAAGGGAGUCCAAGACAAUAUGGCCAUGGAGAAAAGAUGUGCAAAUGACAGUACUAAUGUUACGACAAAUGGCUCAUAUAAUAAUACAACUAUAGAACUCAAUUCUCCCCUUCCUCAGAAAUGUCAUCCAAGUCAUAAUUAAAACUUGGAAACAUUCUCUUCAUAUCAUCCUCAAUUUCCCAUGUAGCUUUGUUCAUGGAAUAAUUAUUUCACUAAACUAACAACUCCGUAGUUAUCUUCUGGCAUGUUUUCACCAAUCUUUGAGCAAGAAUAUUGGCCGGACUAGCCUUCUUAAUAUCAAUCUUAGGAACUUGGAUGAUGGACUGAUCCACGAUAGCACUAGAGUGUAAAUACACUUUAAGCUUGCUUACAUAAAAUAUUGGAUAAAUCUUCAAAUUAGCUAGUAAGUCCAAAGUGUAUGCAAGAUCCCCCAUCUGUAAAUUUAUCUAAAACCCACAAUACCAUGGAGACAACUUAGCACUACCACCUCCUUUUAGAGACUGUUAUGCAUCUGACAAUUUAAAGAAAAUCUUAUCACCAACUUUGUACUCUAAUGUUCAUCAACCAAUCUUUUGUCUCGAUUUUGAGUUUUCCUCAUGCUCAACUUUGCCAACUCAAGCUUGUUUUAUAUAUCCUCCAUGAAAUCAUAAGUAUGAGGUAUUUAAACUAAAGCUAAACUCAAACUCACAAGAGAUUUAAGCUUAUAGCUAUACAUCACCAUAAAGAGAGACAUGCCAAUAGCCAAUUGAUGACCGUUAUUGUGAGUAAAAUAAAACAAAGGCAAAUAUUUCUCCUAUACUCUCUGUCAAGUCAAGUUUCCCAAAAAAGAUCUUAACAUAUCUUCUAAUAGUUGAUUCAUAUGCUUUGUCUGGCCAUUUAAUUAUGGAUGCUCACCAUUACUUAUGCUCACUUUAGUCUUUAGUUUUUCAAAUAUCAUUUGCCAAAGCUUGGACAUAAAUUUGAAAUUCCAAUCGCUCACAAUGUCAUCUAACAAACUAUAGGGAUUGAAUAACCAGUCUAUAAAGAAUUGAGAAAGUUUAAAACUUUUAAUAGUCAUCUUCAUUGGGAAGAAAUGAGCCAUCUUCAUCAAGCAAUCCACAACAAUCUAAAUAACAUUAUUUCCUUGAAAAGUCUUGAGUAAACCAAUGAUAAAGUCCAACUAUAAAGGCGUCCCUCAACAAAACCUUCACACAAAUAUUAGUUAUAAAGGAGUCAAAGCUAGCAAACUCCUUAAACUCAUUCAAGAGAUCACUGGAUAACUUCAUGAAUAAGAUAGAAUUUACCAUCUUGGAUAAUGUAUUAGCCACUUUAUUGUCACCUCUAUGCUUGUAUUGAAUCUUAACAAACAUUUCUUAUAAAAACUCUUGCUGACAAGUAAGGUAACCUUGAAGAUCCUUUUGUCGACUAAAAUACUGAAGAGACUAAUGAUCUAAGUUUACAUGGAAAUUAAUAUCACCAUUCCUUCACAAUAGCAAUCACAAUAUACAACUCCUUGUUUCUAAUAGCUCAAUUCCAUUGUAUAGCAUAAAAUUUGUGGCUCAUGAAUGCAAAAAGAUGCCCAACUUGAAGUAAGAUAACUCAAAUAGCAAUGCCACUUGCAUCUAUUUCGACCAUAAGAGGUUAGAUGUGGAAGAUUUACCACAACAAAUACUUGAGUUAUAUCCAAAAUGCAUCCCACCACAUUCACUUUAGAAUUUAUUGACCCCUUUAGGACAAUCUUUGCCUUGAUGUUUAGCCCUAUGGCAACAAAAACAAUUGCUCACCACCUUUUCUUUCUCCCAUUGGUUCGAAUGAAGCUUCUUAACUUCAUUGCCAUCUUUAUUCUUUGAGGCAUGAUAUAGCAAUGGUCAUUUCUUCCCCGAAUAUGAAGCAUGGACUAGUUGGUCAUCAUGUUGACUAUUCUGUAAACCAUCCUGUUGACCAAAGUUGACCAAAUUAACUAAUGAUUUAGGCAAAAAGAUUUAAACCUUAGUGAUAGCAUUAGUCAAUGUUACUAGAAAAUCCAUCCUAACCUUCUAUUGCACAUUCAUUGAACUCAAACUUUGUAUCCAAAAAUAAAAUCCCCUACUAGAUCUCUAGUAGCUGGUUCAUGAGAUUAACUUCUUCAAACUGCUUGACAAAUAAAGCAUAAAAAACCUUCAUGAAAUCACUCCAAAAAGCUAGCUUCAAAUUAGAUUUAAUGCAGUCUUCCAUGACGAAGAAACAUGAUUUGUAAGCUUCAUCACAAAAAAAUCAAUUUUCACUUUAUCCUCAUAAGGAAUGUGAUUUCCCAUAAUUCCAACCAAAAAUCAACCUCCUAGCUAUCAUAAAUAUUCAGUGAUGACUUCCAUUCCAUGAUACCAUAAUCCUUGACUAAUGGUAAUCAUAGACAUGAGAUUUAUUCAACCUUGAAAGUCCAUGCGAAGCAAAAAAUCCUUAAUAAGAUUGAUAAAAUCUUUAACCUCCUUAAUGUUGCUUUGAACUUUAGAAAUCUGGCAUCUUUACCACACAACGACAUCAUCAAGAGUCUCUUCCUCAUCAUUAUGGCUAUCAUCACUAAUGCCAUAUUCCUCAUCAAAAUCAAUAUCUUGCUCACUAAAGGAACGUGUUGCUCCGAUACCAAUGAAAUGAACAAAGGAAAGAACCUUAGGCUAACCUCCCAACCUUUAAGGUGUUACAACCUUAAACCCUAAGCAUGUAGCAAAUUGAGUAACUAAAGGUUGAAGUUGUGAUUGAUAUAAACCACAUAAAUAUUCUAAGAAUAUUCUAUAACUUGUCUACAAAUCCGUGAGAGGCUCUCUCUUUCUCAACCACGAUGCUGAUGUUGCCAUGGUGAAGUUGUCUAGCUACUUGGUGCUAUUGCUCAAGCUGCCAAGAUCUUUCCCUAGGCCUCUUCCUUACUUGGUUGAAAUCACAAGAAUCAAUAUUGGUGGCUAACUCACCUCUUAAACAUCUUUAGGGAGUUUCAUCAUCUUCGACAAAGGAACAUAUUACACUAUUUUGGUUAAGGCUUUAUUUGAGAAGGUAAAGGAUUCUCUAGAUGCAGUUCUUUCUACAAGUUACAAUCGUGUCUAGUAACCUCAUAACCAGAUCUACUAUGUUUCUAAGGGUCAAUCUUUCUUAUUUCCUUCCUUUGAUUUUCACUUAAAACACUUACCAUCUCACUCUCUUUAAUUAACUAUAUGAUGAGUGGCACUAAUGGAGAACAAACUCACCAUUUUGCUAUAUGAAAGAUCACAAACUCUACAAAAAUGAGUUGGUGUUUUUGGAAGCUACAUGCAGCACAACAUUGAGAAACAAGAACUCUCAUUUACGGCGGUGGAUUGCUUUAAAUUUUAGUUAAGCUUCAUUUAAAGUCUAUGUAAUCACUUGAAAACUAUUCUCUUCAAGAGUGCUUCCUAGCUUUAAUAAACCCCAACUUACUUGGAAGCACAAUAGAAGCAUCAAUUUCAUUGUCAAAAGUUCUCUUGAACCAAAAUGUUCGUUUAAUUGAAAUCAAAUUUCAAAGGUUUGUGAUGGUAAGUGUUGCCAUUGUUAGAGGAGUAACAAAUUUAUCCUUCAAAUGCAAAUUUGUUAACAUCCUCUUUGAUUUGCCAUUGUAAAACUGAGUGACUUUUAACUUUAGCAACGAUUGACAAAAUUUAUCUAAAAGUUUCAACCAAAUUAUAAUAUGGUCAAACCGAGGGCCUAAACCUACAGACACCGUUUCCUUGAUCAUUAACUACAUUCUUUUGAGUAAGAGGUCAAUAUAGCUAGCACCAAAAUUGCAUCAAAAUUAAAUCAUACUGUAAGAGGACAUAGUUUUGCAACUAAAAUAUAAUAAAAUAUUAAAUAAUAAGUACUUUUGAGCUUUAUCUAAGCAAAGCCAUUCAAAACUUUCACAAAACAUUCAUAAAUGAUUUACAACCAUAUUGGGAAGUUUGUCUAUUCUUUUGCUUUUAAAAUUUUUAGUAAACAUUGGCAAGUUCAUAGAAGCUUUUAAAGAAGGCAAUGAAAUUUACAUGAUUUUCUUUUAUAAGGGAAAAGUUAUUACAUCAUUAUUGAAAAUGAGGAGUAUAAGGAAGAAAAACUUUGUUACUUAAUUGAUUAAUUUUAAAAAAAUUUUACUUUCAUUUUUUUUUUAAUUCACUUUGUGUUUAUUUUCUCGUGUUGUUGUAGUUGCUAAGUGUUACAUCACUUCAUAAGCAUAGAAUUUAACAUCAAGAUAUUAAGCUAAACAAUAUACUUGUGGUAGGAAGAUAUACUUGAGUCAUCGACCAAAUAAACAAUAAAACCUUGUACAAGGCAUUGGUUCUCUUAGAUAUGAAUAAUUUUCAAGAGUUUAUCAAUGAAAAUUAUUUAUACAAAAAUAAUAAAAGUGAUAUACGCUACAAAACACCCGAAGUUUGAAACAUAAGUGUGUUUUUUAUUUUGGUAUCAAACUCAAGCCUCAAGUGUUGUGUAACACAGUAUAAAUAAAUUUAAUUAAUAUCAUUUUUGCCAUUUCUGUAUAAAUAAUUUUAUUAAUAUAUUCUUGAAAAUUAUCCAUACUUAAGAAGAUUAAUACUUUUGUACAAGGUUUUGUUGUUUAUUUGGUUAAUGAGUCAAUUUGUUUGUUUGGUUAAUGAGUCAAAUGUGUUCUCCUGUUAUGAAUAUAUUGUUUAGCUUGAUAUCUCGAUAGUAAAUUCCAUACUCAUAAAAUGAUGCAACACCUAACAAUUGUAACUAUAAAAGAAAAUAAACACAAAAUGAAUCACAAAAAAAAAAAUGAAAGUAGAAAAAAUUUAAAACUAACCAAUUGAAUAGCAAAGUUUUUCUUCUUUAUGUUCCUCAUUUUCAAUAAUGAUGUAGCAACUUUUCCUUCAUGAAAAAAAAUUAUAUAAAUUUCAUUGCCUUCUUUGAAAGCCUCCAUGAACCUAUUAAUGUUUGUUAAAAAUUUAAAAGUAAAAGAAAAAUGAAACCUCCCAACAUGGUUAGAGAUUAUAUAAUCUCCAUCAUCACCCAAAAAUUUACCACAUCACAGUUGUUUGCUCUUCAAUCUAAAACCAAAAUAAAUCUCCCAAUAAGCUGAAGCCAAUUCCACUUCAUCCAACAUCUGGAUAAAAACACAAAAAAAAAACAAAAGAAUGCCUUACGUCAUAACUUUGCAUGAAUUUAUUAAUGUUUGUUACAAAUUUAAAAGCAAAAGAAAAAUGAAACUUCCCAACAUGGUUAUGGAUUAUAUAAUCUCCAUUAUCACUCAAAACUUUAUCACAUCACAGUUGUUUGCUCCUCAAUCUAGAACCAAAAUAAAUUUCCCAAUAAGCUGAAACCAAUUGCACCUCAUCCAACAUUUGGAUAAAAAAACAAAAAAAAUAAAAAUAAAAAAUGAAAGAAUGCUUUAUGUUAGAACUUUGCAUAAACCUAUUAAUGUUUGUUAAAAAUUUAAAAUCAAAAGAAUAGUGAAACCUCCCAAUAUGGUUAGGGGUUAUAUAAUCUCCAUCAUCACCCAAAAAUUUACCACAUCACAUUUAUUUACUCCUUAAUAUAAAACCAAAAUAAAUCUCCCAAUAAGCUGAAACCAAUUGCACCUCAUCUAACAUUUGGAUAAAAAAACAAACAAAAAAAAAAUAAAAUGAAAGAAUGCCUUACCAUCACAACUUUAACUACAUAACCUUGGGAGUCAUUAGGAUACCUACACACGGUCAAAGCCUCCUCUCCCAAUCUCUCCCCUUACAAUUUCCACGUCGAGGAAGAGUCAGCCGCAAGGUUGACUUCAUCGCUCUUAAGCCGCGGGAAAGAUCGCUAGGAUCAGGAAAGCCACAAGCAACAGCAUGGCUGCAAAGUAACAAUGGAAAUCGAUAAUGAGCCGAUGCAUCGCAAGAAAGAAGCUUUUUCUUUGCUGCCGAUGUUGAUCUCCCGCACGAUCGUGCGCCGCUAGCACGCCAAUCUGUAAGAGAAUAGCUAGCAGCAAGAACAAAAAGAAAGAACCUUGCCUCGCUCACCAAUGUCGAUCUCCGGCGUGCCGAUCUCUAAGAAGCUCUGGAUGUAAGAGAGAGUAGCUAGCAGCAGGAAGGAACCUGGUGGCGCUCGCCUCGCCCUUUUUAGCCCCAAAUAAACCCUAAGUGCUUCCGAACAUGGUUCGUAUGCUUCUUCCCGGGACCUUUAAAAAAGUAACCUCGACUUCUAUUAAUUAUGAAAUUUAUUAGGACAUAUGAGUAAUUAGACUGGGAUAACAACAAUGGAGAUUAGCUCACCUUUCUGGCAGCUUGGCCAAACUCUGGUGUUUCUGGAUCGACCGUCGCGGCUAUGUCGCAAACCUCUUGCUCGCUCAUCCCAUCGUAGAGCCCAUGCGAAGCCACAUCCAUGGCGUUACUCCACACCGUGACAUCCGUGGUGCCAAUCACGCCGUAGAACCUCUUGAGCAGGAGGUCCCCGAUGGAGCGGGACUUUGGAAACCAGCCCUCGAUCACGCCAAAGCGUACCCCAUGGGCAACUCCGGAUGGUGGUCGCUCGUUAGCGCCUUGGCAACCAGCUUGUCGACCCCGUCGCGGACGCACGCGAUCGCCCUCGAGUCGCCGACGUUGGCCACGACCAUGAACUCGUCCGUCACCACCGCAACGCACGCGGUGGAUCCCGCGUCCCACCACCGCUUGUCGUAGGCUUCCUUGAGUAACGACGUCUCCAGCUCCGGUCUUCUCCAGAGCCGCCUUGACAACUCCAGCGUUGAUUUUAGCAUCCAGUGAUCCAUGGAGGUUUGCGCAGAGCCUGGGCUCGAAGUUCCACCAUCAUCGGUGAGCAAGUUGGAGAGCGCUAGUAGCCGAUCUUCCUGGUGUCUCCGGCGCCCUUGAAUGCUCAGACCACCCUGUUGAUACUUCCACUGCUACAACACUACUCACCGCCAAGAGCGCCAAGAGCGCCAAGAGCUUACCCUAUGACAAAAGGAAGAGCUUUGGUCUCUUUAUAUAGUCUCAAGGAAAAAGGUUUCAACCAUGAGCUUCGAAACAUCCACACUUGACCUUGAUCGUUUCACUGUUGCUCACCACCUCGCCCUGGAUUAUCCCUCCCACGAACUUCCCAAUUACCAGCUGAGACACCAUCACUACAUUCCCAGGAUCCUGGAAACAAAGAAUGGAUUAGUUGAUCUCCUAUACGAGAAGAGAACUUGGACGCUUCUUACUUGUGUCCUGUAACUCCGGAUCCCCAUGAGACCAUAGUUCCUGGAUCGCGUCCAGUGGUGGUGCUUGAAUUUGUAGUCGUUUCCCAGAACGCCCAGCCGCCCAGCCGCGCGCAUGAAAUAGUACGCCGGCUUUGGCAGCGGCCGAUUGGCGAUGGCGCUCGUCGUGAACUGGUUGAGGAGCACUUGAUCCCCGCGAAAGAUUUGAGAGUGGCCUCCGCAGUGGACAUCACCUGUGGAUCUCUGUGAGAAACCAAACGAACAAGCAAAGAAUUUGAGGAAGACUUCCUACCUCCCAGGACCAUGACCUCUCUCCGCCCGCUCUCCUUCCAAUUCACCAGCGCUUCGAUCAUCCUCGUCUGCUCCUUGCGAUGCAUGUCCGCCGACCAGUGCCCCCGGAAAUCCGCGAGCCGCGGCACAUUCUUCCCGGCGGCAUCGGUGAUGUUCGGCUCCAGGAAGACGAGCGGCGCCGGGGAGCAAACCAGCAGCACGCGUACAUCCUCGAAGAGAUCCCCCGGGCGGAGAGCCUGGUCGAUGUCAGUCCACUGCGGGCUGCCGAGGUAGGGGAACUCGUCGCCCUUGACUCGCUGGAACGAUCGGCAGCCGCGAACAUCCAAGAACAUAAGCCCCAGCCCGCCAACAACGUGGAAGUGGUGGUCCUGCACGGACGGCCAGGAUUCGCCGAGUUCUUCCGCAAAUCAUGGAAGCACCUACCUUGGUCAGCUUGUGGAGCUUCCUGAAAUCGAUGUCGCGGUCCAAUUGGCGCUGGUACUCCAGGUAGGCGAUCCACGCGCCGCGCGCGAUGAAGAAAUCGAGGCAUUCCGGGUCCCAGUCGGCCUCGAGGUCGGCCCAAUUGUCGCGGAUCUCGUGGUCGUCGUAGAUCAUGAGAUUGGGGCAAUUCGCCAGGCAGCGGGCGGUGGGGGGGUGCCGCCACGUCUCGCGGUACACCUCGCGGUACGCUUCGCGGACUUCCUCCUCUUUGGUGUGCCACAGAUGCCGCGGGACGUCCUUCAUGAUGUCUUCCUUGCACAGCCGGAAUCGAUCGGAGCAGCGGUCGACAUGGUUUUCCUUGUCCAUCAAUUUAUCGCCAUCGCCAUACACCUGGGAGAAAAGAGAACGAGAAAUUUCUUAAGAACACGACAAGAACAUAAGAACAGGGGAAUGGAGGGAUCGUUUAAUGGAACAGCAAUCUUAGAUCCAACCGUGCAAUCCUUGAAGGAAAGAAAGGAAAUCGAGGACCCAACACAGGAAUUCUGGACAAAAGCCGCCGCGAGAAUGGAUCGAUCUCUCACCUGGUCGCCGAGAUGGAGGACCAAGUCCACGCUCCCAGCCUCGAUGUUCUUGGCGAGGUCCGCCCACAGGUCCGAGUGGAUGGGAAUUUCCAUCUGGGUGAUGAAGAUCUUGUUGCAGCUCACCACUCCAACAUUGACACGAUCCCACAGCUCCUCCUUCCUGGGAAACGUGACGAAGCUACUCCUGGCCACGAGAUCAGAUUUGCAACCCUCCAGCUCCACCAGGUAGCGGCACCCGGGGCUGAGCUCCAAGAACUCAAACGCCACCGGCCGAUUCGCGGGCAACUUCUUCUCCACCUUCAAGCUCCUCCCCUGCUUGCUCUUCGAUCUUCCCGGCAGCGCUGGAUCUUGAUCCCCUUCCUUGGGAAUCGCGCUCGCCUGAUCUUGCGCAGCGGGAGCAUCCUUCUUCGCUCUUCGCCGACGCCUCCUGGAUUGCUGGAGCAGCUGCCGCGACCGCAACACGCCGGCGGCAUCCUCGAUCUGGGUGAGCGAGACCGUGAUCCGGGCCUCGCGAUCGAUUUCCAGCAGGAUCCUGGCGCUCGUUGACGUUACCUUGCCAAUCACUGGCCCGAUCACCACAUUGGCGUCUUCCUGGGAUUUCUUCCUCCCAUUUCGCUCCUCGCCCAGCAAUUUGUUCACUGCCCCGGCGACCUUCUUCCUCCACGCGCUCAUGAUCACUCCAUCCGUACGAAGCAAAACCCAGGCCUAUAUAAACAACGCGUGACGAUUCGCGGAUAUCCCUGGUCUCCGUACAAUUGAUCCCAUUCUUUUCGGACAAGAGAAAGCGUACAAAAGCUUCGUCGUCAUCUUCGGAAGGCAAAAGAAAAAACAUACGAAGGAAAAAAAUUAAAUUUCUUUACUUCUGCCUGCUGAUUCCUUGCUUUCGUGAUCUUCAGUUCAGAUUAGCGGCAAAGCUCCGACUGCUUUGUGCCGAAACGAGCAAAGCGAUUCACCGUCGCCACCAGCCCCACCGCAGAGAUACGGGUGCGCCAAGAAAGCUUCCAGCUCUUUUCGCAGCGCGGCCGCAAGAGCUAUGGAUUCGGCACCGGGCUUUUGCUUCGCCGUGAUCACUGCUCCCAAAUACAUCCUUCUCGCCGUCUCGAGUUGCCUUGAAUCGUUUCCGGGCAUGGUUUCGGAAGGCACGAGUCCCUGCGCACAUUUCCAGCGAAGUUUUAGUGACUCUCCCGUGAAACAGCUGAAUGUCUUCCAACUUUACCGCAAUAAUUCUUUCAGCCUCGUCUCGAUCUGUGGCAACACCAGCCUCCGGUUCGUCGUCGAAGUCCAUGCGAAUGUUUUGCAGCUGAGCCUGGAACUGAGCGGCAGAGAACUGGACCUGGAGAUGGCUGAGCUCUUCUCGCAUUCUCGCGGCCGCAUCGUUCUUUUGCAUGACUUCUCGCUGCAUUCUCGCCACCAUCGCCUCCAUAUUCACAAGGUCCUUCUGCAAGGAUCACAAACCACAAGCGUUUGUCAGCUAGUCUCAGAAAAUUAUUUCUCGAACUCACGUGUUUCUCUGUCAGUUGGCUUUGCACGGCCUGAGCGAAGCGCUCCCUGUCCCGCAGGCUCUUUUGCACUUCGUCCAUCUUCUUCUUGAGCUCCACAAGCUCUUCCUCCCUCGCGGCCUCGGCUGCUUCAAACGAUCGAACAGUCUCCAACAUGCUGUCUUUCUCCCAGACUUGCUUCUUCAGCAGAUCGAUCUGGGCCUGGAGCUGGACGAGCUCCUCCCUGUUGAGUUUCUCGAUCAGGUUUUGUGAUUCGGUGUACUCUACGCCACUCUCGUCUUGGUCGACCCGACGGAGGAUGUUCUCCUGUUCGUCCCAAAUUGCCGAGAUUUCGUCUUUGGAAUCGACCUUCGCCGGCUGUUGCUUGUUCUUCUUUGAUUUGAGAGGACUAUCAGAGACCUGGACUAUGCAUAGCUUAAGGAGUGUUCUAAGCAAAGAUGGAAGUACCUUCUUGACGGAAGAAGCGUCUCUGGGUGGAGCGGGAGUGUAGACCAUCGAAGCAUGGCGAGUAAAACCUCUCCUGCCCUUUUGCUCCUUGAAUCGAGAGGACCAAUGCUCGUCAGCAAAAAGAAACAAGAAAGAAAAUCAUGCUCACCAUGAAAGAUUCCAUGAGCGGGAUCAUCUCUACCAGAUUUUGGUAGAUAGUUUUGUCGAUCGCACCUGGAGGAGGAAGCCCCGACCAAUCCUCCAUAGACAUCGCGACGCCAAAAUCCCUGCGGCUCUUGCCUAAAAUCUCCUCCUCGCCAAGAGAUCCCUCGCACCUCCUCCCAGAAAUUGAUGCUCGCGGAGCAGCGCCACUACCUACAUUGCUGGAUCGACGCGAGCCGGGAGCGCCAAAGGACGGCAGCAGCAUAGAUCCAUCCGGCGUGCUGCUCCAGGCGGAGAAAUCCUGGGGUAGCAAAUCCUGGCCAAUGCGCGGCCUCACGACCUCGGCCGCCGGGCGACGCGCUCCUCCACGCCCUGUUGCCCUAAAAGCUCGAGCAUUCUUCUUGGGGCUGCUAUGAAACAGUGCCGAGCUCCUGGGGGAGGAAUCCAACGCCGGCGGCGUGAGAAUCUCUCGCUCCUGGCGAAUUCGCGGAAGAUUUGCCCUCUUGACCUUCACUGCUGCUACUGCCGAUGCCGCUGUUGCCAUGCAACAGGGAUCGUGCGACGACGAGGCCUGGUCCUCACCAUAAACGAGAAAUCACAGGAAAUGGCAGAUCGAUCGGCAGAAAAGGGGGAAAGAGGAGAUGAGAUUCUUGUUUGCGUCUGCCGCCCGGCCCAACUGGAUUGAUCGUGUCGUCCACCACAGCAUCACUCGGAAAAAACAAAUGGAAUCAAAGCCUGCGAUUCCUGGGCCAAACGCUACAGGCUUUCGGCACGAUCGAUCACCAUCCAGCCCCGUUCUUGGUCGAUCCCGUCCCGUUCGCGCCCAUGAAUCGAUCGAUCGAAAAAGAAAAAUCUGACUAGAGCUUGAGCUUGAGCGCUAACGGAUGGGAGACCCAGCCCUUUUACCGCGCAGUAACAGUAGGCCUGGUUUGAAAUUUUCACCACGGCCCUUUCAAAACUUUCAUUGUGACGUUGCCCGUGACAGAAAAAAUAUUCAAUAAAAGUUGCGCCGCCCGUGGGGCUCGAACCCACGACCACAAGGUUAAGAGCCUUGCGCUCUACCAACUGAGCUAGGGCGGCUUGCGUGUAGCACUCGUCAGCAAAGCCAUCCACAUCUAACCUUCUCAUAGCUAUGAACACAACUGGAAAAUUUACUUUUUUUCUUUUUCUUUACAACUGGGAUGACUAACUGACCGACUGACCGACCGAUUCCUUGCUUGCCAAUGCGAAAUAGAAGAACACACCUCUCAAUCCAUCCAUCCAUCAAUCAAACGACCAAUCGAUCGAUCAAUCAAUCCAUUUUGCUCCGAUCUCACACCCUCUCAGUAGUUUUGCUCGAUGAGGUAAUCCGCUAGGCGCUCAACAACAACGUUGCAUUCGCCCGGUGCGACCGGCUCGUCAUACAGCCCGAUGACCAGAGCGCUGGAAGUCUUCUUGAUCGUCACUCCGGCAGAUCCCUGCGAGCCCAGAUCGAUCGAUCAAUCAAACUUUCCUCUCGAUCUUUACCUUCUUUCCCCUGAUCACAACGCCGGCCUCGCCUUGGAUCACCAUGUACUUGCUGCCGCUGAGGUAGAGGCCGUUCUGGGCGAGCUGCGAGGAAUCGUCAAACGCAUUCAUCACGUUGGUAAUCUCCUCGGGCUUGACCUGCGCGGACAUAGAUAGGGUUUGUGGAUGGAUUGAUUGAAUCGCUCGCUCGCUCGCUCGCCAAGAAAUCCAGAAAUCGCUCUUCUUACCGCUGGAAAGUUGGGGCUCUGCGCCCAGACGCUGCCGUCGUGACCCAGAAUCGCCGCCGAUGAGAGCGUGCGCCCGUUGCCAAGAUCAUACAUGAGGUAAGAAUCGACAUACGUCUGCCACGACAUGGUGCUAGACGAUCAAUCGAUCGAUCGCGAGCUCGCCUGGAUCGAGGAGAAAGCGAGAGCGAAAGAGAGAAAACCUAAACGAGAGAAAGACGAAGAAACAGGGGCCUCUCAAAUUUUGUUCUCACCACGCGGUGGCCGCGCGGUGGCCAGCUGUGUGCCGUCGGAUCCGGCAAUCUGGGCCGUCGGCUGUGCGGGAUAUUCCCGGUGCCAGUCGGACAAGAUCACUCGCUCUCUCUUUUUUGGAUUUUUAAUCUUUGGCGACUUUGGCUCGGUGGUGGUGGAGAAGAUGGCGGCAAAGGAAUAAAAUCUCGAUCUAAGUUUUCAAUUCAGGGACACGAUUCUACAUUGUAUGAUGUGAGUGUGUAAAACAGCAAAAUGGAUACGCUCCCCUUUAGACUGUUCUCUCCGUGGAAAUCCUCACGGCAUCACAUCAAAAGCGAGACGACAUGGCCCCCCCAGUGAUGCGCUGCCGCCAGUGUUGCGAAGAUCAGACCGAGCGCAAUGGAGUGAUCCAAGGAGAAGCCUGCGCAGAGCAAAAGGCGAGUAAUCAGAGGAGUCGAGCGCGAAAGAAAACCGAUGAAACCAAGGAAAGAAUCGAGAAGAGCACGAGAAUCGGGCAAAAGAAUCGAUAUUUCGAGAAAAGAACCGAUGCGUCGAUGUUCUUGGAGGCCAAGGAAAGAAUCAAGAAGGAUGUUCUUGGAGAAAGAAGAGCGAGCUGGAGCCAAAUCUUCUCACCUUUGCUUGACAUCGGGCUGGGAGCCGGCGCCAGAUCCUGCGCAUGCGAGAGAGAUAGCGCGGCGGCCAUAGCUAGCGCGGACAUAACGAUCGCAAUCGCGAGCUUCGCCAUGCCUCUUUCUUCCCGCGCGCGAGAGAGAGAGCGCGAGCGAAGAACAAACAAAUGAGAAAAACCCUCCGUCCCGAAGAGAAUGCCAGCAGCCCUUUUCACCUUUAUAUUUCUACCGUUGAGCGUAACGGCCUACCGUCGAUCCGCGAGGCCAAGAUAUUCCGCGUG
rnacentral:lncRNA from 1 species